UCUGAAGGCUGUCAUAGUAUACCAGUGCCAGUAAUUCGUGUAUCUCGCACUGUAGCCAGAGAGAUUUUUGCACUUGUUAUAAAUUUAUUAUAAAAAUAUAACUGCUGAAAGCUAAAACUAAAUCACAUAACUGGUGCUCCUCCAUAACCACAUUCAUUCCAAGGAGGAAAGAAAUCCUAAUGUUAUUUCUAUUAAAUCUAUAUAUCGAUUAAAAAAGGACAUGAUGUUAAUGAAAAUAGAAAUCCAAAGGGUUUAAUGCAACACAAUAGGAAUACAAGGGCUUAAUAGACAAAACCUAAUAAGUAGAGGGGCCUAAGGAUGGAAACAAACAUCUCAAAUAAUUCAUAUAGUUACUAAAUCCAUCUGGUCAUCCUCGGAUGAUAUAAUGAAUAAACUCCCAGUAGGAACUUGUCCUGUUUGACACCUCAUUUCUAGCAAGCCACCUUUA
rnacentral:misc_RNA from 1 species